rnacentral:lncRNA from 1 species
GGUCUCACACCCUCCAGUGGGUACACAGCUGCGACGUGGACUCGGACUGCAGUCUCCUCAGUGGGUAUGAACAUACCCUAUCACGGCGCCAGUUACCUCGUCCGAAACCAGGAACUGCGCUCUUGGACUGCAGCGGACAAGGCGGCUCAGAUGCCCUGGCGGAGGAACAGGCAGAGCUGCUCAAAACCUACCUGCAGGGAAGGUGGGCGGAGUGGCUCAGCAAAGUCCUUAAGAAUGGGAAGGAGAGGCUGCAGUGCCCAGAACCCCAAAGACUCACAUGACCCACCACCCCAUCUCUGACCAUGAGGCCACCAUGAGGUGCUGGGCUCUGGGCUUCUACCCUGUGGAGAUCACACUGACCCAGUAGUGGGAUGGACAGGACCAAAUGUAGGAUGCAGAGGUUGUGGAGACCACACCUGCAGGGUACAGAACCUUCCAGAAGUGGGCAGCUGUGGUGGUGUCUUCUGGAGAGGAGCAGAGAUACACAUGCCAUGUGCAGCACGAUGGGCUGCCAGAGCCCCUCACCCUGAGAUGGCUGUCUUCCCAGCCCACCAUCCCCAUCAUGGGCAUCGUUACUGUCCUGGUUGUUCUUGGUGCUGUUUUCACCAGAGCUGUGGUCACUGCUGUGAUGUGAAGAAUAAGAGCCCAGGUAGGAAAGGGGUGAGCUCCGAGUUUUCUUCUUCCAUUGAUGGAAAAGGAGGCAGCUAUGCUCAGGCUUCAUGCAAGGACAGUACCCAGGGCUCUGAUGUGUCUCUCAAGGCUUGUAAAAUG